ACCACUCAGCCCUGGGCAUGGGUUCAACGCUACAUACCAGGUGAAAGGUUACUGCUUCCCUGGGGAUCACCCGUGCGGAUUGGACCAGGGCUGUUACUCUGAACGCCAGCGCUGUGACGGGUACUGGCACUGCCCUACGGGGCGCGACGAGGAGGAGUGCCCAGUUUGCCAGGAGGGGGAGUACCCCUGUGAGGGGGGCAGUGGGGCCUGCUACCCUGCCUCUGAAAGAUGUAACAACCAGAAGAAGUGUCCAGACGGUUCUGAUGAGAACAACUGUUUUGACUGCCAGCCGGGUAACUUCCACUGUGGCACCAACCUGUGUAUCUUCGAGACGUGGCACUGUGAUGGCCAGGAGGACUGUCUGGAUGGUAGUGACGAGAGAGACUGUUUGGGAGCUGUACCCAGGAAGGUGAUCACUGCUGCCCUGAUUGGUUCUCUGGUCUGUGGCCUCCUCCUUGUCAUCGCUCUGGGCUGUGCCUUCAAACUCUACUCCCUCCGGACAAGAGA